rnacentral:rRNA from 1 species
AUACGAAGGGUGCAAGCGUUAAUCGGAAUUACUGGGCGUAAAGCGCGCGUAGGUGGUUCGUUAAGUUGGAUGUGAAAGCCCCGGGCUCAACCUGGGAACUGCAUCCAAAACUGGCGAGCUAGAGUAUAGCAGAGGGUGGUGGAAUUUCCUGUGUAGCGGUGAAAUGCGUAGAUAUAGGAAGGAACACCAGUGGCGAAGGCGACCACCGGGGCUAAAACGGACGUUGAGGUGCGAAAGCGUGGGGGGCAAACAGGAGUAGAUCCCCUGGUAGUCCACGCCGUAAACGAUGUCGACUGGCGGUUGGGAUCCUUGAGAUCUUAGUGGCGCAGCUAACGCAUUAAGUCGACCGCCUGGGGAGUACGGCCGCAAGGUUAAAACUCAAAUGAAUUGACGGGG